AGGGCACUCCGGUGGUCUAGUGGUUAUGACACUGGUCUAAUACUCCAGAGGUCAUGGGUUCGAAUCCCAUCCAUUCUA
rnacentral:tRNA from 1 species